rnacentral:rRNA from 1 species
GUCUUUUUGUUUAAUUAUAAGAAGUUGGGCCUGCCCGGUGAUGUAUAUUAAACGGCUGCGGUAAUUUGACCGUGCAAAGGUAGCAUAAUCAUUAGCCUUUUAAUUGGGGGAUCGUAUGAAUGGUUUGACGGGGAGACGCUUUCUUUGUUGUUGGUAUUUAAUUUUAGGUUUUUGUGAAGACGCAGAAAUUAGCCUAUAAGACGAGAAGACCCUAUCAAGCUUUAUUGUUUGGUCUCUAUUUAUUUAUGUGUGUUGAGGGGGCACAACGAUUUUGCUGGGGCGGCGGUCUUGUUAAUUAACUUGAUAUGUGGAGAAUGUGUUAGAUAGUGAUAUGAUCCGAGUUUAUUGAGAGAUAGAUAAAGUUACUGUAGGGAUAACAGCGUAAUUGUACCGGAGAGUUCAUAUUGAUGGUAUAGGUUGCGACCUCGAUGUUGUAUUAAGGUUCCUAUUAGUUGAAGGUGGGCUAGGUAGGCAGUCUGUUCGACUGUUAAAUUCUUACA